AUAACUUGUGUGUGUCCGUCUUGAAGGAAGAGCUGCUAUAAGGGGGAGCAGAGAGGCCAGCUCCGACCAGCACAGCACACCGACUUGUUGGCUGAGGCAGUUUCAGUGGCAGCUUGAUUUGCAGUUUCUUUUAUGGUGGUGAGAGACAAGAUUUCUCUGUUGGUCUAGUAAAGGAAGACAGCUAAGACACAGAAUGAAGGUCAUUCUGCCCUUCAAAUCUUCCUCACUUCACUGAGCGUUCUUCAGAAUGAGAAACUCCUGUUUUGAUUCAGAAAUCUGCCCCCGUGGAGACUCUCCUUCCUCAGCAAAAGAAACAGGCGGCAGAAAGAGUGAUUUUGUACUUUGAGGGAUUGUGAUUGGAAGAGUGAAAACAAAGCUGACACCACAUCCGGCCCCUGUUUGUGUCCCAGAUGGACAUCCUCUGAGAAGAGACAAGAACUUUUCAACCAUGCAAACCUCCCCAGCUUGCAGCACAGAAAGAAUUCAUGAAUGAAGAGAGAAAG